UACGAAGGGGACUAGCGUUGUUCGGAAUCACUGGGCGUAAAGCGCACGUAGGCGGAUGUGUCAGUCAGGGGUGAAAUCCCGGGGCUCAACCCGGGAACUGCGUCCGAUACUGGAAGGCUUGAAUCCGGGAGAGGGAUGCGGAAUUCCAGGUGUAGCGGUGAAAUGCGUAGAUAUCUGGAGGAACACCGGUGGCGAAGGCGGCAUCCUGGACCGGCAUUGACGCUGAGGCGCGAAAGCCAGGGGAGCAAAGCGGG
rnacentral:rRNA from 1 species